GGUUAAGCGACUAAGCGUACACGGUGGAUGCCCUGGCAGUCAGAGGCGAUGAAGGACGUGCUAAUCUGCGAUAAGCGUCGGUAAGGUGAUAUGAACCGUUAUAACCGGCGAUUUCCGAAUGGGGAAACCCAGUGUGAUUCAUCACACUAUCAUUAACUGAAUCCAUAGGUUAAUGAGGCGAACCGGGGGAACUGAAACAUCUAAGUACCCCGAGGAAAAGAAAUCAACCGAGAUUCCCCCAGUAGCGGCGAGCGAACGGGGAG
rnacentral:rRNA from 1 species